AAGUUCGUAAAAGAACCCUAGCUAAAAGCUAAAACCCUAAUUUUUCUUCAAAGAGGAUCAAUCACACGUUUGCUUUAGUGCGCUAUGGCUUUAGCUUGGUGCGUACGCAGGUCAGCAUCUAAGUUGGUCAAGCCCGGUGUAUCUCCGCCGUUGUGAACCGUCCGUCUCUUGCUCUCAACCCGUCUCCGCUUCGUCCCUUCGUCUCACGUCGCUUUUAUUACUCUGAGCGUAGGUUUCUCGGCGUGAUUGACUCCAAGAUCCUUUCUGCUUUGAAAUCCGAUGAUCUCCACUAUAUUAAAGAGACGAUUCCAGAGAGAUUCCCUUUCAAUAUUGAAGAUGAUCCUCGAGCUCAGUUUGUGAGAUUCACUCGUGAAAACGUUAGGGAACAUGUUCAAGUUUUAGCUUUCAUGCCUAGUCUUGUUGCUGAUGAACCAAGUAUUAAACUAACUGUAACUGUAACCAAGAACAACGGACUCUGCCUAGAGUUUAGCUGCACGGCUUUUGCUGAUUCUAUUAACAUAGAUAUUGUAUCAGUGAAUCAUCCGGGUGGUUUUUUUGAGGGUACACUGAAGAAUGAUUGGCAUUUCAAUUUCAAAGACAUGGACAAUGAUCUGAAGAAGAUUUUCUACGAGUAUCUGGAGACCGUAGUUGAAGCAAGCACAACGAAUUUCUUGCAUAAGUACAUGAUGAGCAAACUGAAGCGAGAGUACUAGGUAUGGUUGAAAGGUGUUAAGAAGUUUAUGAAAGAACCUCUGUGGUAUUAGGUUCGAUACCUAAGAGAAUCAGAAAUAUAUAAAUGAACGAACUCUCUUAUGUUCGUUGUUAGCAUUCAAAUGUGUUUUCGCAUUUUGCACAAUCUUUUGAGAAUUUAAUUAUGGUA